UGGGGUGCAGCUCACUGGUAGGGCAUGUGCCUGGCAUGUACAAGGCUCUGGGUUUUAUCCCCAGCACCACAA
rnacentral:tRNA from 1 species